rnacentral:sRNA from 1 species
AUGAGAGGUAAACUUAAAAUGUUUCAUGUCAACAUGUUGAAACUGUAUGUUGAACGUGAGCAAACUAACGUGUGCGUUAGUGCACCAGAUCACAAGGUAGGUUUUGUUGCUACAGUAUCAGUUAUAGAUCUCGAAAAUGAAGAUACAGACGAUGUAGACAAUUACGAAAGUGAGUUAAUCGAAACGCCCGUUGCAGUUGCUAAGGAGACAUUACGAGAUGUUCAUAUCAACGAAGCUUUAAAAGCAAAUGAAACAGUUAAGGUACAGUGUUUACUAGAUAAGUUCUCACACGUGUUAACAGAUAUUCCAGGUAGGACAAAUGUACUACAGCACGAUAUCAAGUUGACUUCUGAUGAUCCUGUUCGAUUUAAACCUUAUCCCAUACCAUAUGCUAUGCUAGACACGGUAAAUAAGGAAGUCGAUAAGAUGAUAGAAAUGGAUAUCAUUGAGCGAUCAGAUAGUCCUUAUUCAAGUCCAUUUGUGAUUGUGAAGAAGAAAGAUCAGAGUAAUCGGUUUUGUAUAGAUUUUAGAGGUUUAAAUAGUAUUACAAUUUUCGACGCAGAAACGAUGGGUAAUAUAGAAGAGAGAUGUUUUCAAAGUUGUCUGGUUAUCAGUUUAUAUCUAAAAUUGAUUUAACCAAGGGAUAUUGGCAAAUUAGUCUUGUGGAUGCUGCAAAACCCAAAACAGCAUUUCCAAACACCUAGAGGAUUGUUCCAAUUCAAGGUUCUGCCAUUUGGCUUGGUCAAUAGUGGUGCUACUUUUGUACGUUGUAUGAGAAAAGUUUUAGAAGGGUUGGAAAACGUUGAUAACUUUGUUGACGAUAUUAUAGUGUACACACGUUCUUUUAAUCACCAUAUGGAGGUUUUGGAGAGUGUAUUUGAGAGGUUGGCAUCUGCUAAUUUGUCAGCAAGACCCUCAAAGUGUUAUAUAGCGUAUAGCAGUCUUGAAGUUUUAGGUCACAUUGUCGGAACAGAUCGCCUUUCACCAAAUCCAGAUAAAAUUGAGGUAAUCAAAAAUGCUCAUAGGCCUACAACCAAGAAACAAGUUAGAAGUUUCAUUGGCAUGGCUGAAUUUUACAGAAAGUUUGUUCCCAAUUUCUCAGAUAUAGCAAGUCCGCUUACUGAUCUGACGAAAAAGGGACAACCAAAUCAGGUACGUUGGGAAGCUAUUCAUGAAAGAGCAUUUUCAAGUUUGAAGAAUGCAUUAGUAAAAGCUCCUGUUUUAAAGUUGCCGAACUUUUCUCAGGUAUUUAUCCUUCAAACUGAUGCUUCUGAUAAUGGAAUAGGCGCUAUACUGCUACAGGAUGAAGAUAAUAUUAGAUUGCCUGUAUCGUACGCUAGUAAAAAACUGAAAGCUAGUGAACGAAAUUACUCCACUAUCGAGAAAGAAUGCCUAGCCAUUGUAUGGGCAAUCAGCAAAUUUCAAAGGUAUUUAUAUGGUAAACAGUUUAUAUUAGAGACCGACCAUCAACCUUUGAUAUAUUUGCAAAAGUCUAAAAUUGCAAAUGCACGAUUGAUGAGAUGGUCACUCUUGUUACAGCCGUAUAGGUUCAGGAUUGUUGCCAUCAAAGGAAAGGACAACGUUGGAGCAGAUUUUUUGAGUCGUAUAUAG